CCUACGGGUGACUGCAGUGAGGAAUAUUGGUCAAUGGACGAGAGUCUGAACCAGCCAAGUAGCGUGAAGGAUGACUGCCCUAUGGGUUGUAAACUUCUUUUAUAUGGGAAUAAAAUGUUCCACGUGUGGGAUUUUGUAUGUACCAUAUGAAUAAGGAUCGGCUAACUCCGUGCCAGCAGCCGCGGUAAUACGGAGGAUCCGAGCGUUAUCUGGUUUUAUUGGGUUUAAAGGGAGCGUAGGUGGAUUGUUAAGUCAGUUGUGAAAGUUUGCGGCUCAACCGUAAAAUUGCAGUUGAAACUGGCAGUCUUGAGUACAGUAGAGGUGGGCGGAAUUCGUGGUGUAGCGGUGAAAUGCUUAGAUAUCACGAAGAACUCCGAUUGCGAAGGCAGUUCACUGGACUGCAACUGACACUGAGGCUCGAAAGUGUGGGUAUCAAACAGGAUUAGAUACCCCAGUAGUC
rnacentral:rRNA from 1 species